UCUACGUGCUACGUAGCAGCGCCCUCUGACGGUGGGACACGCCUGCGAUGAGUAGGCUAUCGCCGUCUUGUAGCCCUGGUCAGCAGCUGUUGCUCUGAUCAGGAAAAUAGACAUACAGAAAAACGUGGAGCUCAUCCUAAAGAAGCUAAGGCAACUGGUGCAUUAUGUCGGGCCUUAAAACGGCCAACCUACGCAUACUCGCGCGGUGCAGGCAACUCAGUUGCCUGACAUGGCAACUCCGUCGCCAUCCAUCUUGGGCCGGUGAGAGGAGGAGAGAAACUCACCCCGGGAGCUUCGUGAGUGUUAUGAGUGAGUUGGAGUUUGAGUGACAAACCCCAAAUUAAUUUAGCCAUGGCAGAUUGCUUUAAAAUCCUGAUUGACGACCUUCUUGGGUUUGGACACGGUCUGCUCGGGCCAGGAGUCCAGAGUAAAGCUCAGUAGGCAUCGCGCCCAUAGGCCAGUCACUUCACUCAGUGGAUGCUACCGCCGACGCGGAAGAAAAGAACCGCCAGCCUGGAUCGGAGGCGGGCACAACGAGGAGGAGCUCGACCUGCCCUGAUAGCCAGAACGGUACCUCGUCAGCCCAGGGCCUAUUCCACCCCCGGCGGCUCCGCAGACACACGGAGCGCGGCGCAAACACAGGAGCAACGGAGGCGCGCGACCGACCCGGGUUUUUUCACACUCUGUGUUAUAUGAAACAACAAAAAUGGACGCAAAAUUAUUGUUAUAGUAGUAUUCAAGUUGACCCAUUUUGCUUUUUAUGUUUGUUUAACUAUUUAUGUAUAUAUUAUUAUUAU